rnacentral:rRNA from 1 species
CGCCUCUUGCAAAAUUAAUGAAUAAGAGGUCCCGCCUGCCCUGUGACUAUAUGUUUAACGGCCGCGGUAUUUUGACCGUGCGAAGGUAGCGUAAUCACUUGUCUCUUAAAUGGAGACCUGUAUGAAUGGCGAAACGAGGGCUUAACUGUCUCCUCUUUCUGGUCAAUGAAAUUGAUCUCCCCGUGCAGAAGCGGGGAUACAUCCAUAAGACGAGAAGACCCUAUGGAGCUUUAGACACCAAGACAGAUCAUGUCAAACACUCAUAAACAGAUGAAAGAACCUAAUGAUCCCCUGUCCUAAUGUCUUCGGUUGGGGCGACCGCGGAGAAACAAAAAACCCCCGCGCGGAAUGAGAGCACUGCUCUUACAACCAAGAGUUUCCACUCUACGUAACAGAAUUUCUGACCACAUGAUCCGGCAAUGCCGAUCAACGAACCAAGUUACCCUAGGGAUAACAGCGCAAUCCUCUCUUAGAGUCCAUAUCGACGAGAGGGUUUACGACCUCGAGUUGGAUCAGGACAUCCUAAUGGCGCAGCCGCUAUUAAGGGUUCGUUUGUUCAACGAUUAAAGUCCU